AUUGAACGCUGGCGGCAGGCCUAACACAUGCAAGUCGAGCGAGCGGCGGCCGGGUGAGUAAUGUAUGGGGACUGCCCGAUAGAGGGGGAUAACUCCUGGCAACGGUGGCUCAUACCGCAUACUUUCGGCUACCCCAUAUGGGAUUAGCUAGUAGGUAAGGUAAUGGUUUACCUAGGCGACGAUCCCUAGCUGGUCUGAGAGGAUGAUCAGACACACUGGGACUGAGACACGGCCCAGACUCCUACGGAGGCAGCAGUGGGGAAUAUUGCACAAUGGGCGCAAGCCGGAUGCAGCCAUGCCGCGUGUAUGAAGAAGGCCCUAGGGUUGUAAAGUACUGUCAGUCGGGAGGCGUUACCGACAGAAGAAGCACCGGCUAACUCCGUGCCAGCAGCCGCGGUAAUUC
rnacentral:rRNA from 1 species